AGCCACGGGUGCGGCCGGGCUCCUCCCCCGCACGGCCUCCUCACGCGAUGCUGCUGAGGGGGUGACGCAGCCGGCCACCCAUAUAUAAUCGAAUCGUGAUCCAAAGUAUCGUUCUUCUUGCUCAGUCCUUCCGGCGGGCGGCCUCGCAUGAGCCGGCGUGGUGUAGAUUGGGGAUCCAUGAUCCAUCGUCUUAUUAUUAACCCACUCAAUUUAUCCCUGAUUCCUUCAAUGCUUGGUUCAGUACAAACAAUAACCUGUUUCUAAAUGUGAUUUAGGGUUCAGUUGAACAAACCUCAUGCAUUGAAGAUGUCUAUUGAGAUUGGGCCAUACCUUUUUCAGUAUCCUUAAUCCUUAUUAUGCAGUUUUGCUAUCUGCAGCUUUAGAGUUCAUGUUUAAAAUAGGCUACAAAUAUUAAAGACAGCAGCAAAGAGAAUGAUCCCAAGUUUCCAACUAGAUAUAUCGUUUAAUACAUUCUCUCUCUCAAAUUAAUUUUAUUGACCAGUAACAACGUAUUCCUGCGGCUUAUGGGGGAUAUAAAUUGGCACAUUCAUACAGAAUGCAAAGGAAUCUGGCCAAGUUGAAUUUGGAUAAGCUAUCUUAAUUCCACAAGUUGUAUUUGGAUACCAGAACCCAAAGGAAUCUGGCCAAGUUGAAUGAUGAGCUCUAUGAAGUGCACCCGAUUAUGACUUGUAAUGUUUAAGAAGUUCUUGGUGUUGGUGAAAAACUUGAUCAUGAGUUUACCACUGCGUCUUUGUUCAUUAUAUUUUGUAGCAUGAUGGACCUAUCAAUGAUUUCUGUGCAUAAACAGUUAUCUUGAGUUCAUCUUUGAAACGGAAUCAGUGAGUAGGCUAGUUGUCGGAUUCACAAACAAAUUUGGUUCAAAAAACUAUAUU